GAUGAACGCUGGCGGCGUGCCUAAUACAUGCAAGUCGAGCGAACAGACGAGGAGCUUGCUCCUCUGACGUUAGCGGCGGACGGGUGAGUAACACGUGGAUAACCUACCUAUAAGACUGGGAUAACUUCGGGAAACCGGAGCUAAUACCGGAUAAUAUAUUGAACCGCAUGGUUCAAUAGUGAAAGACGGUUUUGCUGUCACUUAUAGAUGGAUCCGCGCCGCAUUAGCUAGUUGGUAAGGUAACGGCUUACCAAGGCAACGAUGCGUAGCCGACCUGAGAGGGUGAUCGGCCACCCUGGAACUGAGACACGGUCCAGACGCCUACGGGAGGCAGCAGUAGGGAAUCUUCCGCAAUGGGCGAAAGCUUGACGGAGCAACGCCGCGUGAGUGAUGAAGGUCUUCGGAUCGUAAAACUCUGUUAUUAGGGAAGAACAAAUGUGUAAGUAACUAUGCACGUCUUGACGGUACCUAAUCAGAAAGCCACGGCUAACUACGUG
rnacentral:rRNA from 1 species